GCAGACACAUUCCAGCCAAUCAGCAGCAGACCCUCCCUCCCAGACCCUCCCACCUCCUGGACAGCAUCCAUUUUGAAGCUGCAUUCUUAGUGAGCUGUCCAGGAGGUGGGAGGGUCUGGGAGGGAGGGUCUGCUGCUGAUUGUCUGGAAUGUGUCUG
rnacentral:miRNA from 1 species